UACGAAGGGGCUAGCGUUGCUCGGAAUCACUGGGCGUAAAGGGUGCGUAGGCGGGUCUUUAAGUCAGGGGUGAAAUCCUGGAGCUCAACUCCAGAACUGCCUUUGAUACUGAAGAUCUUGAGUUCGGGAGAGGUGAGUGGAACUGCGAGUGUAGAGGUGAAAUUCGUAGAUAUUCGCAAGAACACCAGUGGCGAAGGCGGCUCACUGGCCCGAUACUGACGCUGAUGCACGAAAAGCGUGGGGGAGCAAAACAGGGA
rnacentral:rRNA from 1 species